rnacentral:rRNA from 1 species
CACGUAGGGCGCAAGCGUUGUCCGGAAUUAUUGGGCGUAAAGAGCUCGUAGGCGGUCUGUUGCGUCCGCUGUGAAAACUCGGGGCUUAACCCCGAGCCUGCAGUGGAUACGGGCAGACUAGAGGUAGGUAGGGGAGAAUGGAAUUCCCGGUGUAGCGGUGAAAUGCGCAGAUAUCGGGAGGAACACCAAUAGCGAAGGCAGCUCGCUGGGACGUUACUGACACUGAGGCGCGAAAGCGUGGGGAGCGAUCCGG